UACGUAGGCAGCGAGCGUUGUUCGGAGUUACUGGGCGUAAAGGGUGUGUAGGCGGUUGUUUAAGUUCGGUGUGAAAUCUCCCGGCUCAACUGGGAGGGUGCGCCGAAUACUGAAUGACUCGAGUGUGGGAGAGGUGAGUGGAAUUCCUGGUGUAGCGGUGAAAUGCGUAGAUAUCAGGAGGAACACCGGUGGUGUAGACGGCUCACUGGACCAUAACUGACGCUGAGACACGAAAGCGUGGGUAGCAAACAGG
rnacentral:rRNA from 1 species